rnacentral:lncRNA from 1 species
UGCACAGACGUUCUAAUUUUGACGUUCCAAUUUCAUAGCUGCGAUUUUGCAUUUAAGAUGAUUGAUGUUGAUCAAUAAUCUGCUUUGAGGAGCUAGAAUUUAGUUGUUGGUUAUUACGCCCCUAUUUGUUUCGAUGAGCUAUCAGGGCAGAUGACUCAUGAUGAUCAAGUUCUCCAUUUACUCUUGUCCUGCGCAUAGCAUCACGCCGCACAUACGCAUAUGUUUCUUCAAAGUCUAGUGCCGGAUCCUUCCUGAGAAUCUCUCCUCUGAGUUGUUCAAAUUCUGCAUCUAGUCCAUUAAGGAAGAUGUGCACUCUCAAGCGUUCAACUGAUUUAAUGCCUUAUAAUAUUCGUUUGUUGCCAUUUUGAGGAAGCAUUUUUCUUUUUUAGCAAACAUUUUUCUUUCUCUUUUUAUUUGUCCCUGACCUUGCAGAGCUUGCUUACACAAUCAAGAUCCCAGAAAACUGUUUCACCCAUAAUAUAUUCAAGUUUUUCACGUCCUGCAAUGUGCAUCUCCAUGAUUUGGGACCACACAUCAUAGUUAGUUUCAGUAAGAGUAACACCAGCUUUGAGACCUGAGUUUUCAUAUUGAACAUGUAUGAUUGGUGUAGACGAUUCAGUUUUACUUUCGGCCAUGGUACAAAGAACAGAUGAGAAUUCGGAUACGAUAAUAAGAGCAAAGCUCUGAUACCAAGUAGAAAACAAAGGUACAGAGGAAAAUAAGAUUCAAAU